ACAUAAUUUUAUGAUGAUGUGCAAGGCGUUGCAAUCAACUUUGUUAAAAGUGAUAAUAUCAAAAUCUUGAGAGAUAUAGAGCAGUACUACAGUACCCAAGUAAAUGAAAUACCUAUGAAUGUGGCAGAUCUAAUUUGAGCUUGGACUUCCAUGGCAAUAGAAGAGAUGAAGUUUUUAAUUUGACAUGCAAAAUGUGCAUGCUACCUGUGAAUUUUGCCACUGCUUAUCUAUUGGUCUUGGUUUAUUAUUGUCUUUGGACCUUGUCGAUAAAAAGGAACAAUUGGGUUUGAUAUUUCAUGAUUAGCUUUCAGUGGUUUUGAAUGGAUAAGGUUCCUAUAUCAUAUGACAAAUCAUUUUUAGAUAGUCCAUGUAAUGUUCUCUCGGCUUGAUUUGUGGCGUGCCUGUUGAAUUUGCGGGCUUGGAUUGACGAGUUUUCAAAAGUUGUUCUAGUAGUAAGAAUCAUGACAUAUUUGUGUUUCGCCUCUUCCAUUUGGGACACAACUUUCCAUUUAUACCGAGAUUGGUAAAGAGGCCCUCUUUAGUUAUGGAAGAUAGGAUCAGGCUAGGCUUUAACCACAUCCUUGCAUUUUGAAACACUUUAAAUAUGCAUUUUCCUUAGCUUCGACAACAUGUUCCAUGGUUUAGCUCUAAAAGAUUGAAAUUGUACGAGCAACAAGUACGA
rnacentral:lncRNA from 1 species